GAUACGGUAGGUGUCUCAGAGCAUGGCAGGGACCCAUAGAGGACAGCAGGUGGGUUCAGGUCUGGAGAAGGGAUACGGUAGGUGUCUCAGAGCAUGGCAGGGACCCAUAGAGGACAGCAGGUGGGUUCAGGUCUGGAGAAGGGAUACGGUAGGUGUCUCAGAGCAUGGCAGGGACCCAUAGAGGACAGCAGGUGGGUUCAGGUCUGGAGAAGGGAUACGGUAGGUGUCUCAGAGCAUGGCAGGGACCCAUAGAGGACAGCAGGUGGGUUCAGGUCUGGAGAAGGGAUACGGUAGGUGUCUCAGAGCAUGGCAGGGACCCAUAGAGGACAGCAGGUGGGUUCAGGUCUGGAGAAGGGAUACGGUAGGUGUCUCAGAGCAUGGCAGGGACCCAUAGAGGACAGCAGGUGGGUUCAGGUCUGGAGAAGGGAUACGGUAGGUGUCUCAGAGCAUGGCAGGGACCCAUAGAGGACAGCAGGUGGGUUCAGGUCUGGAGAAGGGAUACGGUAGGCGUCUCAGAGCAUGGCAGGGACCCAUAGAUUCUGAAGAACAGAGUUAAAGAGAAGAAGGGGUAGUAAAGGAUACAGAAGGAAAACACAGAUGACAGGGAGAUCUGCUCAGGUCUACACAUGUGUAUUGGGUGUUGGGGCCAGGGUUGAUUUGGGAUCCAGGGAUAAGCUCUUUCUUUAUUUGUCUUCGAUUCCUCACGUCCUCCUGGUCUGUGGGGCAGCGCGUGGUCCUCCUGGUCUGUGGGGCCCUCCUGGU